rnacentral:rRNA from 1 species
CACGUAGGGGGCAAGCGUUGUCCGGAUUUAUUGGGCGUAAAGAGCUCGUAGGUGGUUCGGUAAGUCGGGUGUUAAACCCCCAGGCUCAACCUGGGGACGCCACUCGAUACUGCCGUGACUAGAGUCCGGUAGGGGAGCGUGGAAUUCCUGGUGUAGCGGUGAAAUGCGCAGAUAUCAGGAGGAACACCAGCGGCGAAGGCGGCGCUCUGGGCCGGUACUGACACUGAGGAGCGAAAGCGUGGGUAGCAAACAGG